rnacentral:lncRNA from 1 species
AUGUCAAAUAUAAUGCAUUGUUUCAUAUCUUUGUUUUUGUUUUUUUUUCCUGCUCAGCACAUUUUCCCAUUAAAUGGCUUCUGGAAAAAGCAAUCCCCUAGACACACAGAUGAACAUAGGACCCAGGCAUCUCCAUUUCUCCCAGCAAUACCGAUGACACUAAUAGAGCUCAAGAUCCUGACAGAAAAAUACAUUACAGACUGGGAUACAUCAAAAUAAAAUGGAACUUG